rfam:Picea glauca, whole genome shotgun sequence.
CCAUGUAAUUACUACAAUGUUAAUGCAUCAGAUCCAAUCAAAAAUCUGUAGUUAAGUGCGUUUGAGAUAGAGUAGUACUAGGAUGAGUGACCUAUCGGGAAUUCCUGGUGUUUUACAGA